rnacentral:rRNA from 1 species
UACGUAGGGGCCGAGCGUUGUCCGGAAUUACUGGGCGUAAAGCGCGCGCAGGCGGCUGAUCAAGCCUGACGUGAAAGCCCCCGGCUCAACCGGGGAGGGUCGUCGGGGACUGGUUGGCUUGAGGGCGGUAGGGGCAGGUGGAAUUCCCGGUGUAGUGGUGAAAUGCGUAGAGAUCGGGAGGAACACCAGUGGCGAAGGCGGCCGGCUGGGCCGAGCCUGACGCUGAGGCGCGAAGGCGUGGGGAGCGAACGGG